UACGGGGGGAGCAAGCGUUGUUCGGAUUUACUGGGCGUAAAGGGCGCGUAGGCGGGAUGGCAAGUCAGUCGUGAAAUCUCUCGGCUCAACCGAGAAACGUCGGCUGAUACUGCCGUUCUUGAGGGAUGCAGAGGAGACUGGAAUUCCCGGUGUAGCGGUGAAAUGUGUAGAGAUCGGGAGGAACACCGGUGGCGAAGGCGGGUCUCUGGGCAUCUCCUGACGCUGAGGCGCGAAAGCGUGGGGAGCAAACGGG
rnacentral:rRNA from 2 species